rnacentral:rRNA from 1 species
GGAAUAUUGGUCAAUGGCCGGAAGGCUGAACCAGCCAUGCCGCGUGAAGGUCAGUGCCCUAUGGGCGUUAAACUUCUUUUGUCGGGGAACAAAGGGCGCCACGCGUGGCGUUGUGAGUGUACCCGAAGAAAAAGCAUCGGCUAACUCCGUGCCAGCAGCCGCGGUAAUACGGAGGAUGCGAGCGUUAUCCGGAUUUAUUGGGUUUAAAGGGUGCGUAGGCGGGAUGCCAAGUCAGCGGUCAAAUACGGGGGCUCAACCUGCGUCCGCCGUUGAAACUGGCGUUCUUGAGUGGGCGAGAAGUACGCGGAAUGCGUGGUGUAGCGGUGAAAUGCAUAGAUAUCACGCAGAACCCCGAUUGCGAAGGCAGCGUACCGGCGCCCUACUGACGCUGAAGCACGAAAGCGUGGGUAUCGAACAG